rnacentral:rRNA from 1 species
CANGCGGUNGAAUAUUUUGAUNGAAAGCCCNCGGNUUACCCGUGGAAGGUCAUUGNAACUGUCCAACUUGNAUACAGAAGAGGUAAGUGGAAUUCCAAGUGUAGCGGUGAAANUGCGUAGAUAUUNGAGGAACACCAGUGGCGAANGCGACUUACUGGUCUGUAAUUGACGCUGAGGCUCGAAAGCGUGGGUAGCAAACAGGAUUAGAUACCCUGGUAGUCCACGCCGUAAACGAUGAGUGCUAAGUGUUAGGGGGUUUCCGCCCCUUAGUGCUGGAGUUAACGCAUUAAGCACUCCGCCUGGGGAGUACGGCCGCAAGGCUGAAACUCAAAGGAAUUGACGGGGACCCGCACAAGCGGU